rnacentral:rRNA from 1 species
UAGGGAUAGUGGCGCACGGGUGCGUAACGCGUAACCAACCUACCUGAAUCUGGGGGAUAGCCCGCCGAAAGGCGGAUUAAUACCGCAUAAAACGGCAGACCGGCAUCGGUUCACCGUUAAAGAUUUAUUGGAUUCAGAUGGGGUUGCGUGCCAUUAGCUAGUUGGGGAGGUAACGGCUCACCAAGGCGACGAUGGCUAGGGGAGCUGAGAGGCUGGUCCCCCACACGGGCACUGAGAUACGGGCCCGACUCCUACGGGAGGCAGCAGUAGGGAAUAUUGGGCAAUGGACGAGAGUCUGACCCAGCCAUGCCGCGUGCAGGAUGAAGGCUUUCUGAGUCGUAAACUGCUUUUAUCAGGGAAGAAAAAAGGGCAUGCGUGCUCUACUGACGGUACCUGAUGAAUAAGCACCGGCUAACUCCGUGCCAGCAGCCGCGGUAAUACGGAGGGUGCAAGCGUUGUCCGGAUUUAUUGGGUUUAAAGGGUGCGUAGGCGGUUCUUUAAGUCCGGGGUGAAAGCCCACUGCUCAACAGUGGAACUGCCCUGGAAACUGGAGGACUUGAGUACAGACGAGGGUGGCGGAAUGGAUACUGUAGCGGUGAAAUGCAUAGAUAGUAUCCAGAACACCGAUUGCGAAGGCAGCUGCCUAGACUGUAACUGACGCUGAGGCACGAAAGCGUGGGGAGCGAACAGGAUUAGAUACCCUGGUAGUCCACGCCGUAAACGAUGGAUACUCGCUGGUGGCGAUAGACGGUCACUGGCUUAGCGAAAGCGUUAAGUAUCCCACCUGGGGAGUACGCUCGCAAGAGUGAAACUCAAAAGAAUUGACGGGGGCCCGCACAAGUGGUG